GGAGGGUUGCCAGAGUGGUAAUGGAGCGGAUUGCUAAUCCGUGACGUCUAAUAGGCGUCCACAGGUUCGAAUCCUGUACCCUCCG
rnacentral:tRNA from 1 species